rnacentral:rRNA from 1 species
AGGAUGAACGCUGGCGGCGUGCCUAAAACAUGCAAGUCAUACGGUCUAUCUUCGGGUAGACAGUGGCAAACGGGUGAGUAACACGUGGGAACACGCCUUCGAGUGGGGAAUAACGCUGAGAAAUCAGUGCUAAUACCGCAUAUGGUCUAACGACUAAAGCAGUAAUGCGCUCGGAGAGUGGCCCGCGUCCGAUUAGCUAGUUGGUGGGGUAAUGGCCUACCAAGGCGGUGAUCGGUAGCUGGU